GAGGCGCCGCGUGCGGUGGGCGGGCCGCGGUGUCCUGCAGGGUCGGCAGUACGUUCGGGCUGCGGGCGCUGCGAGCCUCGUGGGCUCGGCGUCUCCUGUUCAAUUCCGCUCGGGGCUGUAGCUCGUGCCUUGCCUACCCAGCCGGACCAUGGCUUCAGCCGUGGAGGAGCUACAGAAAGAUCUAGAAGAGGUGAAGGUUCUGCUGGAAAAGGCCACUAGAAAGAGAGUACGUGAUACUCUUACAGCUGAAAAAUCCAAGAUUGAGACAGAAAUCAAGAACAAAAUGCAGCAGAAAUCACCGAGGAAAACAGAACUUCUUGACAAUGAAAAGCCAGCUGCCAUGGUUGCUCCCAUUACAACGGGAUACACAGUGAAAAUCAGUAAUUAUGGAUGGGAUCAGUCGGAUAAGUUUGUGAAAAUCUACAUUACCUUAACUGGAGUCCAUCAAGCCCCCACGGAGAAUGUGCAGGUGCGCUUCACAGACAGGUCGUUUGAUCUUCUGGUGAAGAAUCUAAAUGGGAAGAAUUACUCCAUGAUUGUGAACAAUCUCUUGAAACCCAUCUCUGUGGAAGGCAGUUCAAAAAAAGUCAAGACAGAUACAGUGAUUAUCUUAUGUAGAAAGAAAGUAGAAAACACACGGUGGGAUUACCUGACUCAGGUUGAAAAAGAGUGCAAAGAGAAAGAAAAGCCCUCCUAUGACACUGAAACAGAUCCUAGUGAGGGAUUGAUGAAUGUUCUAAAGAAAAUUUAUGAAGAUGGAGAUGAUGAUAUGAAGCGAACCAUUAAUAAAGCCUGGGUACAAUCAAGAGAGAAGCAAGCCAAAGGAGACACAGAAUUUUGAGACUUUAAAGUUCUUUUGGGAACUGUGAUGUGGAAAUGGUGAUGUUUCCAAUAAGGACAUGUUGGUUUGCAUUUUUUACAAAAAGAAGGCAAGACCCUCUACCAGCAAAAAGAUUACAACUCGCUUUAUUGCGAUACUUUAUUUCGGUGGUCUGGAACCAAGCCUGCAAUAUCUCCAAGGACUUCCAGUACUAUGUUGAAUAGGAGUGUUAAGAAGGGGCAUCCUGAUCUUGGAGGAAAAGCUUCCAACCUUUCACUGUUGAGUAUAUUAGCUGUGGGCUGCUUAUGCUGAGGUAUGUUCCUUCUAUACCUAAGUUGGUGAGUUUUUAUCAUGAAAGGAUGCUGAAUUUUGUAGAACGCUUUUUCUGCAUCCAUUGAGAUCAUAUAAUCUUAAUCUUUCAUUCUAUGUAUAACUGUGGUAUAUCACAUUUAUUUCUUUGCAUGUUGAACUGUCCUUGCAUACCAGGCACAAAUCCCACUUGAUCAUGGUGUAUGAUCCUUUUACUAUGCUAUUGAAUUUGUUUUGCUAAUAUUUUGUUGAGAACUUUUGCAUCUAUAAUCAUCAGGGAUAUGAGCCUGUAGCCUUCUCUUCUUGUAGUGUCCUUAUCUGGAUCUACUAUCAGGGUAAUUCCUGCCUCAUAAAAUAGAUGUGGGUGUGUUCCCUCCUU